CGCAGAUUCACGUUCAAUCAUGCGAUAACGAGUUGUCUCUCUAAAGACAGACACAUAGACAUAUAAGCAGUAGAUUGUGUCCUUACAGAGGAGGAAAUCUACUUCUAGACUUCUAGAAUCAGCAUCUCCUCAUCCAUGGUGUCAUCGGGGUGAAAUGACGUCUAAAAACCUUUCACUUGUUCGUCUCCGCCCGUUUGCAUGGUGUGAAAUACGAUCCUCCUGAAACACGGAGUGUUUUAUUUUGAAAAGAAGCCGGAUGUUUUAUUUUGUGUCUGUGCCCGACUUCCUUUCCAGCACGGGUUAAUCUGUGCUGAAUUUAUCCGCCAUGCU
rnacentral:lncRNA from 1 species